rnacentral:rRNA from 1 species
CAGCGACGGCGCGUGAGCGAUGAAGCCCUUCGGGGUGUAAAGCUCUUUCGGCAGGGAAGAUUAUGACGGUACCUGCAGAAGCAGCUGCGGCUAACUACGUGCCAGCAGCCGCGGUAAUACGUAGGCAGCAAGCGUUGUUCGGAGUUACUGGGCGUAAAGGGUGUGUAGGUGGCCUGUUAAGUUCCGUGUGAAAUCUCCCGGCUCAACCGGGAGGGUGCGCGGAAAACUGGCGGGCUAGAGUACGGGAUGGGAGAGUAGAAUUCCUGGUGUAGCGGUGAAAUGCGUAGAUAUCAGGAGGAAUACCGGUGGUGUAGACGGCUCUCUGGACCGUAACUGACACUGAGACACGAAAGCGUGGGUAGCAAACAGGAUUAGAUACCCUGGUAGUCCACGCCCUAAACGAUGCAUAUUUGGUGUAGGCAGUUCAUUCUGUCUGUGCCGGAGCUAACGCGUUAAAUAUGCCGCCUGGGGAGUACAGUCGCAAGGCUGAAACUCAAAGGAAUUGACG